GCGUUUCUUAAUUGCAGGUUACCAUUUUCCCCCUAACGGACAAAUCACAAAGUCUAUUAAUACUUGAUUCUUGUGAUUGAAAGACAUGCAUAGUUACGGUGGAGGUAGCCCACAAACUUUCCUUCUUUUUUAAGUUUCUUUUCGGCAACGUUGUGCAAUACCAGUCGUAGCCCUGCCGUAGCACCUCGUCUCUAAUAAUAUCAACCUAUGGUUCGUUGUUGCCGCCCUGUUUUAUCAUCUCUGCGCCACUUCUCAGGCAUUGCUAUGCGCAGCUGUAUUUUUUUUUUUUUUUUUUUUUUUUUUUUUUUUGGGUCUUAGGUAAGUUCUUCUAAUGCUACUGCAUAUGCUGAGAGUGGUUUUUAUAUAUACAAUUUGUACUUGACAGUCUUUCAUUUUUCCUAUUACCAUGCUAAAAUAAAUUUUUUUAUUCUCAUUCAAUAUAUUUUUUUAUUUAGGAUUUUUUGUUUAGAGUAGGAUUGUGCGAAGAGCAGAGAUGUAGAUAAUUGUUUUUGAAGUCUACAAAAGGAUGAAAGAAAAUACAAAAAGUAAUACAAUCGAAUCAAUGAUUUAUUAGGUAAAAAAUGACCUAAUAUUCACUACUUGCUUGUGAAUAUGGUUGCUGCUGAAGGUGUUGACCUGAAGUUAGCUUAUCACUCCUUCAACUUGAAUCUAGGUCUGUUAGUAUACCUGGUUCUAUUGAGAAAAUCUUUAAAGCUUCAGAGUGGAAUGUCAUUGGCAUAACGGUUUCAAGAUUGGCGUCCUUUAUUAGCUAUAGCGCAUGCCUAGUGCAUUGUCCGUGUGCUUAGAAUGGUGGUGGUAUGAACUCAUUCAGCUUUUUGUCUGGACCACUGAUCAACCCAUAGGCCAACAUCACAACACUGGGAAUUCUCAUACAAAUUACAAGCUUAAUAGACACAAUCUUAAAAUUCAUUGAGAGUGGGCUUGUCUGUUGGAUGUACAAUGUCUUGUAUUCUAUUAGUUGCAUAAGUGGACUAAUUUCGAUGAGCCGUUAAGAGGCUAUAUAUGUAUUUCAGUAAAUUAUAUGUAUGGGGUUUCACUAUAUUUUUUGUGAGGGUUCUUUCUUUAUAAUCAAUCUUAGAGAGUUGUGAGGAUGAGCGGUUGUAACUCUAUACUUCAUUAAUAGUGAAGUGCAAUCUCAAAAUUCAUUGAGAAUGGCUUGUCUGUUGGGUGUACAAUGUCUUGUAUUCUAUUAGUUGCAUAAGUGGACUAAUUUCGAAGGGUCGUUAAGAGGCUAUAUAGGUAUUUCGGUAAAUUACAUAUAUAGGGUUUUACUAUAUAUUUUUGGUGAGGUUUCUUUCUUUGUAACAAAUCUUAGAGAGUUGUGAGGAUGAAAGGUUGUAACUUUAUUCUCCAUUAAUAGUGAAGCAGAUCUCAUUUUACA